GAUUAACGCUGGCGGCGUGCAUAACACAUGCAAGUCGAACGAUGAAACUUAACUGUUUUCUUCGGAAUGAUUUUAAGUGGAUUAGUGGCGGACGGGUGAGUAACGCGUGAGUAACCUGCCUUGGAGAAGGGGAUAGCGUUUGGAAACGAAAAAUAAUACCCUAUCAUAUGAUAAUAUCUCAUGAUAUUGUCAUCAAGGAUUUAUUGGUCUGAUAUGGACUUGCGUCUGAUGAGUUAGUUGGUGAGGUAACAGCUCACCAAGGCAGCUAUCAGGAGCCGGCGGGAGAGCGUGGACGGCGGCAUUGGGACAGGGACACGGCCCAGACGCGUACGAGAGGCAGCAGUGGGGAAUUAUGCACAAGGGGGGAAACCCAGAAGCAGCGAGGCCGGGAGAUUUAGAUGGCCGUCGGGUUCUAAAAAGCUUUUGUAUGGGAAGAAAAUGACAGUACCAUACGAAUAAGGACCGGCUAACUACGUG
rnacentral:rRNA from 1 species